rnacentral:misc_RNA from 1 species
CCGAGUUAUACAACUCAUCAACCCUGUGAACAUACCUAUAACGUUGCCUCGGCGGGAACAGACGGCCCCGUAACACGGGCCGCCCCCGCCAGAGGACCCCCUAACUCUGUUUCUAUAAUGUUUCUUCUGAGUAGACAAGCAAAUAAAUUA